GAAUUUCAAGAUGGUGGAAUUUGAGGAUUGUAGACAGUAGUACCUAUCGGAAUUGAAAUGGACCCAGCCAACAGCAAGCCAUUCACAAAAUCAAGACUUUUUGCAUCGAAUGUUCUUCUACAGAAAGAUGAGCUGGAAGAGCGGAAGUGAAUUUUAAAUGCUGAGCGUUCAAAAAGACAACUCGCAAAAAUUUUACCCCUCAAGAAAAGGCCUCCCCUUUACUUUCUUGCAGCUUUCCUCUUCUGCCGUCAUGUUUAUAAGUGAAAUGACUGUGGUAGGACAAACAUUACAACUGCAGCAAAGAUGAAAGCAAGCAAUUAUUGGGGUCUAAUUAACUGUGGAAACAUAUUAUGCCACAGUAAAUUAAAACAAUGGUUAAGA